UCAAGCCCCACCGCGGGGACAACAAAGAAGGGAAGAGAUUGAACUUUUUUCCGUCUUCCAUCACAGUGAGGAAUUUGGAGGAGUCACUGUGGUGGAUGUUUACGUUAAAAUGUAUUUUGUGUGCUUUGUUGCUUUUAAAUGGUAUGACUGGCAAAUUAAAUUCAUCGUAUGUUGCAAAAACAUACUUUGGCAAGUUAUGUUAUACAUGUACGAGGGACUAGUGAGCCUGCAUUUGGAGUAUUGUGUUCAGUUUUGGUCACUGCUGUAGGAAAGAUGCUAUUCAGCUGGAAAGAAUACAGAAAUGUUAAGGGGAUAUUGAGGAACUCAAAGGCCUGAGUCAUCGGGGGAGGUUGAGAGAUAUGGUUAGGACUUUAUUCCUUGGAGUGGAGGAGAUUGAGAGGUGAUCUGUCAGAGGUGGAUAAAAUAACGAGGGGAAUAGAUAGCAUGAAUCCAGUCUUUUCCCUAGUGUGGAAGAAUCAAAAAGUAGAGUGCAUAGGUUUAAGGCUAGAGCUCACAUUUUUUUCACACUGGUGGUGGAUAUAUGGAACGAGCUUCCAGACGUAGAGGCUGAGGCAGGCACAAUAACAACACAAAGAUCGCUUGGAAAUUUAUUUGGAGAAGAGAGGUUGAGAGAUAUGGGCCAAAUGUGGGCAAGUGGGACUACCUUAGAUGUGGCAUUGUGGUCAGUAUGGGCGAGUUGGGCUGAAGGGCCUGUUUCCUUCCUAUUGUGUGCCAGCUCUUGCCCCACCUUAUACUGGCUAUCUCCCGUCCACCCUUUCAGUUCAGAAGGGGGAUCUUGUCCACUUCCCUCCACAGAUAUUGCCUGCCCUGCCAAGUUCCUCCAGCAGCUGUAUGUUCCAGAGUCUAGCAGCUGUAGUCUUUUGUGUGUUCCGUGUGUCAAUUUCUCCUUUCCACUAGAGCUGCAGCAAUCUGCUAUUUCAGUUCUGCAUUGAAGUCCACCAUAAUCAGUGCAAUAUAAAUAAUUUGAAGAGAGUGACCAGGAGUUAUCUCACAGCAAAAGGAGAAUUUUCCGAGUUGGAAGGCUUCAAUUUCCCGGGAAUGGAAUCAGCUGCACAUUAUAGCUGAGGUCCAGCAGAAAAUCUAAGACCUAAAGAAUAUGUGAUGGACACAAAAAGCUGGAGUAACUCAGCGGGUCAGACAGCAUCUCUGGAGAAAAGGAAUAGGUGACGU